rnacentral:lncRNA from 1 species
GAAUUGGGAACAAAGAAUGCGGCGACGGGUGUGAGGCUGUAGAGCCGGUGAAAGGUGGGAGGAACGCGGUGGUCGGAAAUGAGGGAAGAGUGAAGAAUGGAGUAAGAAGAAAGAAGUGCGAGGAGACGAUCUAGCAUUGAGGCUGCUUCUGGGUUACUGCAACUAAUCUUUGAUGCUAUUUCCUUAGCAGACAGCUUAGCACCUUCUCCCGCUUCUUUCAGCACCUCAAACACUCCCAGCUCCGUCGCCGAUUGCACUGCCAUCGGAAGGGCCACCGAACCUACAAUCUCCAUGGCAUGCGAGAAGCUUUGUGCAUCUUGUAUCUCUUCUUCCUUCCUCUUUUCUUCACCAUUCAGGCUUGCCAUCUCCACUUCAACACCUGCAGACAAGAAAGAGAAGAAGUGAAGGGGAAGAAUAAAGAAGAGGCCUAUAUAAAGGAGAAAAAAAAAACUUAUCCUUAACAGUGAUGAAUAUGUAAAAUAAGACGCUACGUAAAACCCUACUUUUUCACCAUUAAACCAUGCAAUGAAAAUGCUUUAUCAUACACACGUCUCAACCCCUACCUUCUUAACCUUCCUCUUUUGACUUCUUUUUGUAAGGUAUUUUUUUACAAGUUAAACAAUUUUCUUGUUAACUAAAGUAAAUAAAAUGUGUAUUGUUUAUAUUAAAAAUAAUUAUGAAUAGUCACUGCAAUAUUUAUUAUUUUAGUUAAACUAUCUAUGGUAACUCUCUUGUAAAACAAACAUGACUUAUGAAUUAUUCAGAAGUUUAUAUGAAAAUAAUGGAAUAAAAUUUUGAGAAGGAAGACCAUCAUGAUUCAUACAAUUAACUACUGUCUGAAAAUAAUUUUUAAAUAUGUUUUUUAAUUGAACCCGAAAAAUUAUCAUAAGUUUUUGUGAUGUCAUAAAAGUAUAAAAAAUGGAAUAUCUUUUUAAUCUAAUGUAAAAAUAAGGAAGAAUGUUAAUUAUAAUAUUGGAAAUGAUUUUUAAUAUUUUUUCUGUAAUUGACUAGAUUUUGUAUAAAUUGUCAAAAUACUCCUAAUUAACCAAUUUAAGAAGUCUAAAAUUGAUUUUUAGUGAGAAUAAUUUUUAACCAUUAAGAAUAUUAAUUUGAUGAUAAAAUUUGAAAUGUGUUCCAUAAAUAAUAAAUAAUUUUCAAGAUUUUUUUGAAAAUAUAUGAAGUACAUAUUGCACUAAAUUGUAGAAUAUUAAAGGCUAACAAAUUAAGUUCAGCAAAUAUUUUCUAUUACUAAACUUAUCGAACUCUCUCUAGAUUUUUAGAUGUGAUUCUUGUUAAAUAUUUUGAAAAUUAAAGAUAUUUCUAUCUCUAAAAGUUGAAGUGCAAGAUUAUCAUGAAUGAUCAUGAGUACUUUGAUUAUUUUAUACAAAAUUAUAUAAUUAUAGUAAAAAAUAUAUAAUUAUGUAAUAUUGUAGAUCAUAUUAUAAGUGUAAAAUAAAGUUUUAAUCCAUUACUAUAUGUUACUGAAUAAUAUUAUGUUAGUAAGUGAGUUUAAAUCGAAUUCAAGAUUAUAAAAUAAUUGAUUUAUAAAUGAUUUAGUUAUACUUUUAGUUCAUUGUAAAAUAUUUAAUAAAUAUAAAGUCUCUUAAUUAAGAAUGAUCUUUUAUUAUUAAAUAAUCACUUGAUAACUUAACUUUUAAGAGUAAUGUGGUUAUUGAAAAAUUAAAAUUUUGUAAUUAUAGGAACAAAAGUAAAAUAAUGAUAUAAAAUGAUUGUUUAAAUUUAUUAGGAUAUCAAUAUAUUGUUACUUUAAUAAUAAUAAAAUAUAAUCAUUAAUUUGGUUCUAUACUAGUCUUAGUCUUUAUGCUCGUGUUGGUCAUAGUCAACAAUUUUGUCGUAAAUUUCGUUCCAUUAAUAAAAAAAUCUUGAAUAAAAUAAAAUGAAUUAAUUUAAUAAAAAAAAUAGCAAAAUAUAAAAAAGGAUUAAAAUAAAAAUAAGAAAAGGUGUUUAUUUAAUUUAACAAAACUUUAAAACAUAUAAAAAUAUAUUGUAAUUUAUUUUAUUAAAAAUAUAUUAAAAUAUUAAAAAAGUAAAUUGAAAAAAAUGAAAAUAUGUUUUUAUUUAAUUUAAGAAAACUUAUUUAAUUAGUUAUUUUGACGAUUCAAUAAACACGUUUUUUUUUUUUGUUUUAUUGAUGAAUGUUCUUUUUGAAAAUUCUACUAUAUGAAAAUUCAACUAUGAAAAUUCAAGUAUCUUUUUUCUACAAGAGUAUGUUUUUCUAUAAGAGUAUUUUAAGGGUAUAGUUUUGUCAACACAAUCAUUUUUGUUUGUAACAAGUAGAAUCAGUAUUAUAAAUAGUUUUUCUUUUCCAUUAUAAUCAAAGCUUUACCUUUUUCAUAACUUCUGUAAUAAAUUUUCAUUAAAUAGUAACGUAGAGUGCAAAAAUAAAAUUUUAAUUCUGAUUUAGAACAAUAUUAAAAAACCUUAUGAUAUUUGGUACAAUAUUCUGAAUAACAAAAAAUAUUUUAUUUCUUAUAAGCAAAAAUAUAAUUUCCUAUUCUAACAAAUUUAAAAAUUAUUUUAAAUUAAAAUUUUGAAUUUUUAAAAAAUUAGAGAAAUUUGAAUUUGAAAAAAAAGAAAAAGAAUCCAAAUUUUACAAUUUUACCCUUUAAAUAACUACUUUUUUUUAAAUUCAAAUAAUUCUUUCGAAUAAAAAAUAAUCUACACGAUAAAAAAAUUGCAUACAAGAAACUUAAAAAAUUACUUAUUUUUUUAAUAAUUUCUAAUAAAAAUAUUUUUAUAAUAUAUUUUUAUUUCAAUAUAAAGAAAAAAAGUGUAAUUAUUCAUCUUUAAAAAAUAAUUUUGUUUAUUAUAUAAAAUAAAUAAUUGAAUAUUUUUUUAUUUUAAAAUAAUAAAUAACUUCUUUUUUUAAAACUAAUUGAUAUAUAUGGAUGAUAAUUUUUACCUUAUAUAAUUAAUUUUUUAAAUGAAGAAUAAAAUAUAUUCUAAAUUCAUGUUUUUCUAUAUAUAGUAAGAUUCUAAAUUAUAUUUUAUAAUAAAAUGUAAAAAAAUAAAAAAUACACGUAGGUCUGUGUUUUCGUUAAUUAGUAAUAAUAAUAAAAAGGAUAAAAGUAAUAUAUUGAUUUUAAAACAAUAUGCAGAAAGUUUAAUUUUCGGAUUCUGUAUAAAUGGUCAAAAUGUCACCUUUUUUUCAUUAAAAGUGAUGCAUAUAACGAAAAAUUCAUUACUCCAAUCUCUUAUAGUCAAAUUGUUGGAAUGGAGUUCCCAUUUUGUCAUGGUUUGUUAAUGCUUUAUUAAUAUAAUUUUGGCAAAAAAUUGAUGUUUGAUACAAAACUUAAGAAUUAAAAAAAUUAAAAUCUUUUACUAAAUUAAUUUAUACACAAGAUAAUUUUAAUUUUUAAAAGUGCAUUUUUUUAUUCUUUGAAAUAUUUAUAAAAUUUGUCUAAACAUACUAUUUAAUACAUGAAACAAUAAUAUUCAAGCUUUACGAAAAAUAAAUAUUAAAGUAAAUACAAUCAAUCACUAUCAUGGUCAAAAGUCUUCUCACAAUUCAAAUUUAAAUUUGAUUUCUUUAAGCUAACUCCUUUAUGCACUACAAUAAAAUCAUGAAAUAAAAACCAAUUUUUAGAAACCAAAAUAAUUAGUUGCAAUAGUAACUAAAUUAGAGACCAUUUUAGAAACUAAAAAGAAAUUUGGUUUCUAAAUUAGUUUCUAUUAUUUUAUAUUAUUGUUAAAUAGUUUCUAAAUUAGUAUCUAAUUAGCAACCAAGGUUUUUGCUACCAAAUUUAGAAACUAAUAUAAUCACACAAUAUAAUAUAAUCACUAGCGCAUAAAUGCUAAUCAAAUCUUGUAGUUAAGUUUAUAGUUUAUUUUACUGCAACAGCCAGGUUUAUCACCCAAGUUUUUACAGUGUCCAAGGAAGAGUUAACCACUAGACCAGACAAAUCCUUUGAUCAUAUUAUCAUUUUUAUUAUACUUAUUAUUAUUAACAUAAUUUAUACAUAUUAAUAUAAUUAUUAUUAAUAAUAAUAAAAUAAAUUAUAUUCAUAUUAUUAAUAUUAUUAAUAUUAUUAAUAUUAUUCAUAUUAUUAAUAUUUAUUAAUAUUAUUACUAAUAUUAUUAUUAUUAUUAUUAUUAUUAUUAUUAUUAUUAAUAUUAUUAUUAAUAACUAGUGGGAACACGAGCACUCAUGUGCCUGUAUCCGCAUUUUUCAUUUUUACUAUUUAUAUAUUCAUAUAAUUUUAAUAAAUAUUAAAUUAUAUGAGAAGAUAUGUAAAUUAUCUAAAUGCAUCAUUGAUAAUAGUUUUAUUAAGAAUUUAUGUUAAUUUUUUUUUAUAUUUUCAUUUUAUUAUUUUUGAAUAUUAAAUUUUGAUUAAACUUGGGUGUAAUCUUGAACUUUGUAAGGUUAUCAAGGUUAAAAUUAAGGUUUAAAAAAAAUGGACCAGCAAACAAUGUCAAAACAUAAUGCAAAUGGUUGUAUGUUGGAAGUUGCGGAAUCUAUCACCAUAUCAAUUGAAUCCACAUCUUCCAUGGCAAAGAAGUUGAAAAAAAUAAAAUAAUAAACUAAAUACAAAUUACCAAACUUCCAACAUAUCUAAUAGAUCAAAGCACAGUAGACAUAAAAACUUUGCCCGCAAAGCUGGGCUUAAAAUUCAUUCAAAAAUAUAUAUAAAAAAAAAUUAAGAAAGCAAUAGAAACAAAAAUGUUCAAAUCAUAUAACAAUAAGACACGUCUCUGCUUCGAACGCUUUGGGAAGUGCGAGAAGGAAGAAACAAUGGUGGUCGUUGUUGUACAGUGGUGAUUGAAGAGGGAAUAAGAUGGGUGAGAGUAGGAGAAGAACAUGGAGCGUGAAGGAAGAGAGUUCAAAAUGUGUCAAAAUUUAUGAGCUUUUUUUUUUCUUUGGAUGCAACGGGUGAAAUUACUCCUUAUAAGAAAGUGGAAGAAAGUGGUAACCGCUCAACUACUCCUUAUAGGGAGUGAAUGUAACUGGUGAAAACUAUUCCUUCGUAAGAAAGUGGAUGUAAAUGGUGACGGUGGAAACUACUGAAGAAAGUGGUAACCGCUCAGUAAUAAUCAAAUUGUUCACGUUUGGCCACUACUCACAUUUCCUAAUAUUUAUUUCUCUCUCAUGAAACAGACACUCUCUCUCGUUAUGCAAUUAAUUUUCAAAAUAAAUUAUCUCUUUCAAUUCAAACGGUUGUUCCAUUUAUUUCAAAUAUUUUAUUAAAUUUAUUUCUCUCUCAUACAACAGACACUCUUUCAUUAUGGAAUUAAUUUUCAAAAUAAAUUAUCUCUUUCAAUUCAUAACCACUCCUCCACCUCUCUUUCAAUUCAUAACCGUUCCUCCACCUCUCUUUCAAUUCAUAAAUGUUCCUCCACCUCUCUUUCAAUUCAUAACCGUUCCUCCACCUCUCUUUCAAUUCAUAAAUGUCCACUACGUAUAUUAAAUAUUGUAGAAAAAAUAAGAAAGGGCACAAUGACCAUAAUACAAUAAUAAAAUUAAAAAUUAAUAUAAGGAUAAAAUGGGAAAAAAUUAAGAGCAGUUAAGAGGGAAUAAGAAAUGAUACAAUGACCAUAAUACAAUAAUAAAAUUAAAUAUUAAUAUAAGGAUAAAAUAUGAAAAAAAAUUAAGAGAAGUUAAAAGGGGAAUCCCCUUUAUAUAUACUAGCGGGAACACAGGCGCUCUCGCGCAGGUGUAUCCGCAUUUUUUUAUUUUUGUUUUUAAUGUAUAUCUAUAUUUUAUUUUUAUUAUUAUGUAUCUAAUAUUUUAUUUUUAUAAUUAUUGUAUUUUUUUAUUUUUUCUAUUAAUGUUAUUAUUAUUAUUAUGUAUCAAUAUUUUCUAUUUUUACUGAUUUGACUAUUCAUUAAAUCUAUAAUAGUUUGAUUUUAAUUAGUAUUUCAAACUAAAAGAAACUUAGGUCUUAAUUAAUACAUUGUUUUAGUGAUUAUAGUAAUAUUUAACCUUUUAAAUCAAAUAUAUAGACGAUCAUAUAUAUACUCAUUUUGUUUUAACAUAGAUUGUGAAAAUUAUGUCAUAAAAAUAUUUUUUUAAAUGCAUAUUGAUUGAAUAUUAUUAAAACUCAUUAAAUUUAGUAAAAUUAUGUUUAUUAUGGUUUACGAAAUAAUUUUAAAAGACCUCCUAUUAAAUUAUGUUCCACAACAUAAAAAAAAAUCAGAUAUUCAUAAAUAAAAAUAUAAAGUUAUCACUUUCCAUUUUUUUAUAAACUAAAAUAAGAUAAUGCAUAAAAUAAAAAAAAUAUAAACCAAAAUAAGAUAAUGCAUAAAAUAAAAAAUUGAAACAUUUUACAUACUAAUUUGACUGUUCAAAUUUGAAGUAGAGUAAUGAUGAAAAAACAUUAUUCUAUAAUUGCGAAGGUGAAAUUAGAGUAUGAGAAGUUAUCACUUUCCAUUUUUUUUUAUAAUUUAAUAUAAAGCAAAGCAAAAAAGUUAAAAUUGUUUGAAUUAUAAUGUAGUGCAAUAUUGAGAAAAUAUAGGUCCUAUGUUUUUUAGUCUUGAGUAUAGGCUAGACCCUCAUUAGACACAACAAAACCUUCAUAAUCAUUAGACAACAAAACCUGCAUAGUUUCUUGAAAACAAAUAAACCUUGGAGAGAUGCUCCUAGAACACCAUUGUCGAGAUUUUCCCAAUCACGGAUCCAAAGCCACUGCAAAAAAAAAACUCCAAAAACUCACAAACAAUCCAUGAAAAGUGCAAGAUUAAUCAAAGAAAUGAAAGUAUGAUUUUACAUGAAAGUGAAAAGGAAAGAGAAAAGAAAAGUGAGAAGUAUGGUAAAAAAAAGAAUGUGUUAUGUGUAGUGGAGAGAGAAAGUGGGAAGUAGGUACCUAUAUAGGAGAGAGAAAGUGGAAAGUAGGAUACGUGAGUUAUGUGUAAUCGAGAAUAUCAGUUUAAAUAAAAAAAAAAGUAACGUACUAAAUCUCCACUCUCCUACUAAAGUGGUCCACAAAAUAUUACAAAUAUCUUUAAUUUUUUAUUUAAUAAAAAAAAAAUCUUUAAAACAGAAAAGUAACUAAUCACUCUCUCCACUCUCCCCACCCUCUCCACUCUCUCCACUCUCCCCACCCUCUCCACUCUCUCCACAAUUAAAUAAUAACAAAUAAAAUAAAUUUUAAAAUUAUUUUAUUAAUUUUUGAAAUUAUAAAAUGUCCAAAUAACCAAAAUAAAUUAAUACAAUAAAUUAUUAAGUAAGGAUAAAAUAGAAAAAAGAAUUAAGAGCAAUUAAGAGGUGAAUAAGAAAUGACAAAAUGACCAUAAUACAAUAAUAAAAAUAAAUAUUAAUAUAAGGAUAAAAUAGGAAAAAAAUUUAGAGCAGUUAAGAGGGGAAUCCCCUUUAUAUAAUAUAUAUAUAUAUAUAGGUAUAGAUGUAUAGAUAUUAUUAUUAACAUUAUUAUUAUAUUCAUAUUAUUAAUAUUAAUAUUGUUAAUAAUAAUAAGUAUAAUAAAAAUCAUAAUCAUACUAAAGCAUUUGCUUGGUGUAGUGGUUAAAUUUUCUUUAAGUUAUUAUUCACGUGAAAAUCAAUUUUAGAUUUAACUCAAAUUCAUAAUAUUUCUCUUAUAAGUUUCAUAACACUUUGCGGUUAUACUUAUAUAAUUAAAAUGUAAGUUAAAUAAAGUUUUCAUUUACUUCUAUGAUUAAAAUGUUUUAUUUUUAAUUGUUGAGUAAUAUUCAACAAAGAACAGAUAGAUAUCAACAUUUGUUUUAGAAUUUAGGGUGAAAAUAAACCAUUCUAGUUGACUCAACUUCUGUAAUUAUUCAUAAUACACUUAUUCACGUGUUUAGUUGACAUUUCUCCAAUAUUUAUAGUUAAAAUGCAUGUGCAUGGCUAUAUUAUUUCCAGAUCCGAUCGGAAGCUAGCGUAAAUAAAGAGCUAGCACUAAUAUUUGAAGGUAUAUAAUAUAAAUAACAUUUUUUGUUAAACAUUGAUUAGAUGAUAUGAUUGGCAAAUUAAAACACUUGUAAAUUACGGUUUUCAUGGAAAACUCAAUUUCUUUAUAGCACUUAAGAAUAACGAAGUUAAUAAUAGAUGAGACAUUAAAGAGAGGAUAAGCAGAUGAGAGAUAAAAGAGAAUCUAUACGUAACAAUAAAUUAAUACAUAAAGAAUUAAUUAAUAUUAAAAUUGGUGACUUAUCAUCAUAUUUUUUUUUUCUUUUGACUAAGUUGAUGUAUUUUUUUUAUAAUUUUUAUUUUUAUUUAAGUUUGUUUAUUUUAGAUUUAUUGAAUCUGUUUUUUAUUUUGAAAUAGUGAAAUUUUGAAUAAGUCUAUGUAGAAAUAUAUAUAUAAUAGGAUCUAAUUUUUUGAUGUAGUAUAUUGAGUAGAUUUUUUUUUUAUAAGUGUUGGAGUAUUCCUUUGUAUUUCUAUUUUUUUUAUUUGCUAAAGAAAAUGGUUAAGAGAAAAUAUUAAGUGUUGAGGAAAUGGUACUAUUGUAGUUGGAAAUUCCAUUUAUAAAUAACACCUGACUUCUCAUGGAAAUUCCAUUUAUAAAUUCAAGAAUCUUUCUUAUCCUCUCUUAUCCUUUUCUCUCCCAAAAGAUACAUUAACUGUUGUUCCUGAUUCUUUUCUCAUUCAAACAAGUUCUUUCUCCAUUCCAACUUCCAAAACUACUCUAGAUUGACUGUCAUCUCCCCUCCUAGCCAAAUGUAAGCUUCUUUAUUAGAACAAAUGGAAAACAUCAUUGGAAGAUUGACCUUGAGAAACAUAUUUCUCGUCCAUUUGUCCUCCUAUAACCUUAUCUCUCUCUCGUUAUCUACCUCCCAUAAAAUUAUCCUAAAGUUGUCUUUCUAACACUCAAGAAACCAAAUUUCUUUCAAAUUCCACCACAAAAAAAAUAAAAAAUAUGAUCUACAAUUCUUUUACACCCAAAAAUCUCUUCAACCUCCAUACUUAGAAUCCAGUACUUUUUCCCACAAAUCUUUCUUCUCAUCGCCUAAGAGCCAAAUCCACAUUUGAUAAUUUUAAUGUACACAUUUAAAAGGUAAACCAUAUUUAAUAAAAGAUUAUUCAUAACUUUAACAUAAAUCUAAUAUUUCUCUCGUUAUUUUUCUUUUGUGGUAAUUUUAUCAACAAAUAAGUAACAUCACUAUUAAAGGUUAAGUUAAACAUGUGUGUUUUUCUUACGUAAUUUUUUACAUGACUCCAUGUCAUCAUGAAUCAAAUUAAAACUAUUGUUAACUAAAAUAAGAUAAAAGAAAUUGUGUUCACUACCACCACUUAAUUUAAAAAUUAAAAUGAAAUAUUAAGAUAUUAAAAUAAAUUUCAAUUUAUUUCCUUUUCUUGCAUCAAGUUAGCAGCGAUCAACAAAAUUGAAUAAAAAAUAAACUUUUACUUCAUUUCUUUCCUUCCAUUAUUUCUUCUUUUCAUAUUUUCUUAUUAUUUUUAUAUCUUUUUUUCAAAAAAAAUUUCUGUCGUUCAUACUUUUCCAUUAUUUUUUUUUUAAUUUCUCACUUCAUUUUUCAUUUUUUUUCAAAAUCAAAUUUUAUUUUACAAUAAUUGACGUUGACAUGUACAGGAUUAUUUUCACCUUUAUGAUAUUUCAGUUUAGAAUCAUAUUUUCAUCAUAUUUCAGUUUAGAAUAAUUAUUUUCAUCAUAUUUAAUAAAAAAUAAUUUUAAAGAUAAAAAAUAAUAUAAACUAAAAAUUUAUUGAUAUUUAAAAUAAUUUUUAUUAUUAAUAAAAAAUAUAAAAUAAUUUCCAAAUUAAUAUAUAACAUUAACCAUCAAAGUUUUACCUACUAGUCAAUAUAAUAAUUAAUUAUUUUUUUUAAUUAAAGAAAAUAAUCAAAUCAAGUAGUUUAACUUCAAAUUAAAACUUUGUAUUCAUUUAGUUAUAUUAGGUUUCUAGGAUUAAAAAAAUCUUUAAAGAUNNNNNNNNNNNNNNNNNNNNNNNNNNNNNNNNNNNNNNNNNNNNNNNNNNNNNNNNNNNNNNNNNNNNNNNNNNNNNNNNNNNNNNNNNNNNNNNNNNNNNNNNNNNNNNNNNNNNNNNNNNNNNNNNNNNNNNNNNNNNNNNNNNNNNNNNNNNNNNNNNNNNNNNNNNNNNNNNNNNNNNNNNNNNNNNNNNNNNNNNNNNNNNNNNNNNNNNNNNNNNNNNNNNNNNNNNNNNNNNNNNNNNNNNNNNNNNNNNNNNNNNNNNNNNNNNNNNNNNNNNNNNNNNNNNNNNNNNNNNNNNNNNNNNNNNNNNNNNNNNNNNNNNNNNNNNNNNNNNNNNNNNNNNNNNNNNNNNNNNNNNNNNNNNNNNNNNNNNNNNNNNNNNNNNNNNNNNNNNNNNNNNNNNNNNNNNNNNNNNNNNNNNNNNNNNGACUCAGGAGACGUUGAAAGCGCCGAGGGUUAGAGCGCGACCGGCAAAGACCGAUGAGGCGAUGGAAGUCUGCGCUGUUAGGGAGCCCGGCACGUGGAUAACACCGUACCAGUUGUACUUAGAAGAUGGCGUACUCCCACUUGACCCGACAGAGGCAAAAAGAAUAAAGAGGAGUUCGAGUAAGUUUACUUUGAUUGAUGGGAACCUGUUUAGAUUUGGGUUUUCUCAUCCUGUGCAGAUCUGCGUGUAUGGCGAGCAAUGCACUAGACUUAUGUCAGAGCUACACGAUGGGUAAAGUAACAUGAAUAAUAAAGUGUAGCAACAUUAAAGAUCUUGGAAUUGAUUAUGAAUGAGAAAUUUUUUAUAUAGUCUAUUUUAAACUCAUAAUUAUCUAAGUAUAAUGCAUUUCAAAUGACCUAUAAUACCGUGAUCAAUAAGUAGAAUGUGCAUGAAUUGCACUGUUGGUUCAAUAAGAGAUAGAAUUUAAAAAUUAGUAAAAUAAUUUAGUUCAUCAUGUAAGCGAUCAAGAAAAUCAAGGAACUAGAUUUUUUGUGUGUGAAGAAACAUGAUACAAGGAAAAAAAUGUUAAAGAUUAAUCAUGCAUCUAUAAAAAUCUAGAAAAAAUAAUUAAAAGACAAUAAUGAUCAUUUAUGAGAUAAACUGAACAUGUUGGUUUUCAUAGUAAAUGGAUCAAAGGUUGCAUGGAGUCUACCUCUGUGUCUGUGUUGGUUAACGGAAGUCCUACUGAAGAGUUCUACCCUCUGAGAGGGUUGAGGCAGAAGACCUACUAGCUCCGUUCCUUUUUCUAGUUGUAGCUGAAUGUUUGACUGGGUUAGUUAGGAAAGCUAUUAAGUCCAACAUGCUUACUAGGGUGAAGGUGGGGAGGAACGAGGUUGAAUCUUGUGUGCUUCAGUUUAUUGAUGACACUAUUUUCAUGUGAGAAAGACUCUUACUCUAAUGUGUUCACUCUGAAAGAAAUUCUAAGGUGUUAUGAGUUGACUUCUAGGUUAAAAAUUAAUUUUCAUAAAUCAAUGUUGGUAGGUAUUAAUUUGGUUAGGAGUAACCUUGAUUGCUAUGCAAGAUGUCUUAACUGUACUCUUAUGUGGACACAGUUUAAAUACCUGGGUCUUGAAGUUGGUGUUAAUAUGAGAAAAAAGGAGUCUUGGGAGCCAGUUUUGAAUAAAAUUAGUACGCGGCUUAGUGUUUGGAAGGGUAGAUUCUUAUCUUUGUCAGGGAGAAUUUGCUUAAUUAAGUUGGUGCUCACAACCUUACCUCUCUUUCAUCUCUCUUUCUAUAAAGCGUCAGAGUCCGUAUAUAGUAGAAUCAUAAGUAUUCAAAGGAAGUUUCUUUGGGGUUGGGGAAAGGAUAAUAGAGUUAUCUCUUGGGUCAGUUCGGAAAACGUAUGCAAACCUAUGAAGUAAGGUGGAUUGGGGUCAGAGACAUUAGAAAGUUCAAUGAAGCUCUUUUGGCCAAAUGGAAAUGGUGUUUGGUGAGUGAAGAACGAGGAAAGUGAAAGGAUAUUUUAAUUUCUAAAUAUGGAGUUGAAUCAAGUCAACGUCACUAACCCAAGAAGUACCAGUCUUGGUGGUGGAGGGAUUUGUCUAAAGUUUGUGGCGAGGAUAAUGUAGAAGGGUGGUUUAAAGAAGCUCUGGUCUGGAAAGUGGGCUUUGGGGAUAAAGUCAGAUUCUAUUAGGAUGUCUGGGCAGGUGAUAAUAAGCUUAUCUCGUUGUAUUCGAGGUUGCAUUCUAUAUCUUUGAACAAAAGGCUGACAGUGGGUGAGGUUGGAGGGUGGGAAAACUCAAUUUGAAAAUGGUGGCUUAGAUGGAGGAGAACUAAAUUCGAGUGAGAAUCCUUACAAAGAAGAAGAAAUGAUAAGGCUUAUCUUCACAGAUUUUCUGAACAUGGAGGCACAAGACUGUCAAUUGUGGGGAGGUAACAUCACAAACGUGUAUGGUGCCUAUGCUUUAGAUGAAUAGAUAUUUUGUUCGUCCAAUAUAAGGACCUGAGAUUCCAUUUCAAGAACUUAUAUUUAGUGCAUUUGAGCUCUAAGAAGAAUAAGGUGUGGACAGGAUUGUGGAGUGGCCGUAGUAAGUCCCUGACGCGCGGAAGAAAUCUUCCAAAUAACACAGAUCUUGUCAAUCUAUGAGGAAGCUACAGUAGGGCAGAAGAGAUGUGCUAUGAGGUUCAGUAUGCUGCGGUUUUGAAGCAGUCAUGCUACUAUUAGAAGCAUUCUGUUUAGCACGGAAUCUGUCGGAUGGGAGGACUCUGAACUCAUUAAAAAGCUGGAGGGAAAUAAGAGGUAUUGGUUGUUAUUUGUUAAGCUCUGUUAAGGAUGUUGUUAUGGGAAGCUUGCAGAUUACAAUCCUCUCUAUAUGGACGACAAGAAGUUGUGCAACCUCUUGUUGUAGAAGGUGCAGAAGUAUGUGGGAUUAUGGAGGGCCAGGUGUUGCUGGUGUUUUUUGGAAGAUGAAGGAGGGCUAAUAUAUGUGGCCUUAUACCUAGUAUCCAUAUUAGUUCUGUUUUUUGUUUAGCAGUUCUAUACUCAUAUUUUGUUAGACAAAGUUGGAAAGGUUUAAAGAAGUGUAGGGGAAUAAACUUUGACAAGGGAAGAACUUUUUACUGGGUCUUCUAUAAAGGUUGGAGUAUUAAUGAAAUACCUUAUUAUUUUUAUUUAGUCACUAAAAAAAUCAUCAACAAAUGUGUAUGAAUUACACAACAUGUUCAAGAAGAAAGUGAAUUUAAAAAUUAGGAAAGUAACUUAGUUGAUUAUGAAAAUCAUAAAAAAAAACCAGAAUUUUUUAUGUGAAGAAGCAUGAUAUAGGGAAAAGGAUGUUAAAAGGUUAAUAUGCAUCUAUUAAAAUCUAGAAAUAUUAAUUAAGACAAUAAAUAUCCUUUUUUUGAGAAAUAUGAACAUUUUUAGAAGGAUUUCUCAAGACGUUAAAAAAGAAGGAUAUUAUGCAUGUUUCUAAUGAGAUUUAACUAAAGUUUUCAUAAUACACAUUGGAUUGAUUCUGAAUUUACUAGAGAUUAUUUAGUGCAUAAAUCAUAAAUUCAAAAUAAAUAAAAAAAUUCUUCAUGAAAAUAGUGAAAACUCCAGUGGAAACGUUCUAAUCUUAUCUUUGCAUAUUUCAAUUGUUUUAUUUUAUUAAUAUAAAAAGUGAAUAUAACAUGAUAUAUUACACACCAGGAGUUUAUUCUGUUAUUUUAAAAUUAUAAAAAUAAACACAUAAAACACAUAAAGAAGCAAUUAGAAAUAAAGCAGAGGAAGUAGAGGUAAAGAGCAUAAUGGUCUACUUGAAGAACUCCAUAACCCAAAAAUUGUUUACAUGACAUUCAUAUCUGAUGCCACUGAAUCCAGCUGCUCUUGCCAAUUUCAUGAACUCUUCUUCACAUCGUUCUUUACCUCCCUCGUGCUGAGUCAUCAUCAAAACAUCCAGUUGUGAAACCCCCUUAUAAGCAUUACUAGUCUCUGGUGUUUUUGGAAGAACUGCCUCCACAACUAUCACCUUUCCAUCAUCAGGAAUUGCAUCAUAACAAUUCUUCAACAGCUUCACACAAUGUUCAUCACUCCAAUCAUGAACUAUCCACUGCACAGUUUACUUAAUGUCAAAGCUCAUUGAAGAUUGGUAUAAGUUUCAUGCAUCAGUUUCAAUAAAUCAAACUUUCAAUCAACUGCUAUUCAUAUUCAACAUAAGAAACACGUUCGUAGUGGUUAGAAGUUUAAGCUAAAGUAAAAAGGGUGUUUGAUAAAAGGAGAGAUUCCUCUCCUCUUUAAAAUUAAAUACUAUAUAUUUCCCUAGCACCCAUCAUUAUGAAUUGACCAAAAUCCCCUGUAAGACAGCCACACUUACCUUCAUAAAUAUGGCGUCUCCUUUUGGCACAUUUUCAAACAUAUCUCCCCCAACGUGUUCCACUCCUGCAAUAUUAGGUACCUUUUGCUUUUAAAACUCAACAUCAUAUAUUAUUAACAAAGAAAGUAUUGGACUCUAAGCAAGUAAAUAGUACACACUAUUUAUGUUAUUGUCUUGUAAAACUCUAAAUUUACCAAAUAAGUCUUCAAAGGACAAAAAGAACAUUUUUUUUUUAAUUUUGCAGAACCACAGAAUUGGAAUGUGUAAGGAUGAUACCAGGAUAGGAAGGAGCCUCUUGAAUGACAUGAGGCAAGUCGAAAUUGAUGCCAUGAAUAUGAGGGUAUUUAGAAGUGAUCAAGUUAAUGUUGAUUCCAAGACCACCAGCAACAUCUACCAGUGUUUUUAUGCCCUCAAAACCUUUGUAGGAUUCCAGAACCUUCUUCAUAACCAAAGUGGUGUGAUUGAUCAUAGCUGUGUUGAAAACCUUGUUGAAUCUUGAGUCCAAACGUGGAUAGUCAAAAGCAUGAGUGCCAUAAACCCUGUUGAAUGGAACACCCCCCUCCCUAAUUGCAUCUUUCAGCUCACUCCUAUUUUAAAACAUACCAAUAUGUUUGUGAGGGAAAAGGAGAUAAAAUGAUAAUAGUUGAGAGAGAGAGAGAGAGUUGAACCAGCUUUGUAGGAAGAUUUUGUCUUGGAGUAAGGCCAUCACGGGCCCCAAGGAAACUCCAUCAGAAUUGGGAGCAAAGAAUGCGGCGACGGGAGUGAUGGUGUAGAGGCGGUGAAAGGUGGGAGGAAGACGGUGGUCGGAAGUGAGGGAAGAGUUAAGAAUGGAGUGAGAAGAAAGAAGUGCAAGGAGACGAUCUAUCAUUGAGGCUGCUUCUGGGUUACUGCAACCAAUCUUUGAUGCUAUUUCCUUAGCAGACACCUUAGCACCUUCUCCGGCUUCUUUCAGCACCUCAAAGACUCCCAGCUCCGUCGCCGAUUGCACUGCCAUGGAAAGGACCACGGAAGUCGCAAGCUGCAUGGCACGGGAGAAGCUUUCUGCAUCUUCUUCCUUCCUCUUCUCUUCAUCAUUCAGCGUUGAAUCUGGAAGGCUUGCCAUCUCCACUUCAACCUGCAAUCGUUCACCAACUUCUCCACUAUAUAUUAAACCAUCCAUUGAAAACCUUUAUACUUUAUUAUUCUGAGAUACUUAUAAUAAUUUGGGUGUUGAUAUGUCAACACCACAAUAAAAAACCAUUCGUUGACAAAUCAAUAAAAUAAUAUUUUAAUUAUAUUUAAUUUAUUUUAAAUUUUCAAAUAUUAUUAUAAUAUAAUGUUAAGUAUAUGCUUUUUAUUGUGUGUAGGAUAAUAUUUUUUAGUUAUAAGGCAUUAUUUUAAAGAGACAACACUAAUAUUUUGAAGGUAAUAAAUAACAUUUUUUAAUAAACAUUGUUUAUGGUGGUGUGGUGGCUAGCUAAGAACUUUAUUAUGAGUCUAAAUAAUUGAUUAGAUGAUUGGCAAAUUAAUACAAUUGUAAAUGGAAAACCCAAUUUCCUUAUAAAUAACACCUCUGACCUUUGAUGGAGCUUGAGAAGUUUGUUGCAUGGAUUAGGGUUUUUGAUAUAUAAAAGCUUUUCAAUCCUUAUAAAUUAAUAUAAUGAAAUAUGUAGUAGCAGAAAUAGUUGUAGACAAAAUAAUAUUAUCUGAAUGCGGUGUUUUAGCUAGGUAUUCAGUGAAAUCAGACCGCCACAAUUUAAUUCAUUUUGAUGGAAAAUUGUGCGUACAACAGUUUCCAAUGAGAUAGUAUAUCCCUCAAAGAUAGACUCAAAUUGAAGAUCAAGAAUUAUUGAAAAUCAAAAUUAUGAUUUAACUUCAAAAUAUUUAUACUUACUUAAAUAAAUCUUAAUUUAUUUCCUUUUCUUGCAUCAAGUUAGCAUGGAUCAAAAAAAUUGUAUAAAAAAAAUAGACUUUUAGUUCAAUUCUUUCCUUAUCAUUAUUUCUUCUUUUCAUAUAUUUUUCUAAUUAUUAUUCUUUAUUUUUUUUUAAAGUUUCCUCUGCCUCACACUUUUCCAUUCUUUUGUUUAAAAUUUCUUGCUUCAUUUGUAUUUUUUUUUUCAAAACCAAAUUUUAUUGUGUGUGUUCAAGAUCACUUUCAUCUUUAUCAUAUUUUAAUUUAGAAAAUUAUCUUCUUCUUAUUUGAAAAUCUCACAAUUCCUUUUUCUCUGUUGAUAUUUGAUUUUUUUUUUAUCUGUAAUGAAUUAAUUAAAUAAAAAGAAACUCUUUCCAACAUGUAUACAUAGAACUCCUAAUAAAACUACCUACAAUACAUGCAUGCUAACUAAGAGACACACCACUUAGUUCCAAAAGAGCUAUGUAAUUACAACCCCAAAACCUGCUUCAAACCAACAAACAAAACCUGUUAGUACAUAUAGGCAUAGCUUGCUACCAGCCCACCAAGCAAGCCACUAACACUCUAACCAGAAAGCAAAACAACAACAUCUCAGACACCUUCCUCGGUAAGCAGAAACCAGAUGAGAAAGCAGUUGCUACUCCAUGAUCUCUUCUCCCUUACAUUCUAUACAAUAUGGCAUAUCUGCACCUUUGUAACCAGCUUCUACCAGGAAACCCUUAGUAGAAAAACAUCAACAAGAUAAAGCUACACUUUUAUAGAAUCUACAUAACACAUUAAACAGAGGAAAAACAUGUGUGCUUGGCUGUGAUUGACCACCAGCUCACUGCUGCAUGACCUGAAAAAAAGCAAUAGACUAUACCAGAACCUAUACCUGUUCAAUUCACUCUGCACCGAAAAACAAGAAACAACUCUUUUGGUCGUUAGACUUGCUCUCCACUCAUGGCAGACAACUAUACCAAACACCACCGCAUGCAGCAUCAAGCUUUAAAUUACUGCAUCAGAGUAAUAAAAUCUAUCCUCCAGAAAGCACUAAUCCGAACCAUUUCCUGUCUAUACCUUCCUUGACCUGCAGAAACCUGUAUGGUCAGGACUACACCACACAACACCCAGCACAAGAACCACCCUCUUAGCACUCUGCUACCAACCCCUGCAGCACUAGAGCCUGCACCACGGCAGUGGGUCUUGGACCCUCUUUUCUAGACACAACUCCUCUAAAAUAAAAUCCAAAGAAACACUUUCUACCCUGCUUAAGCUCACACCCAGUUACUUAAAGCUUUUAACGCAUAUAGACGGAUUAAGUACCCAAUCCACAAAGAGUAGUUGAAGGUAUAUGUCCUAUGCUUCAUCCAUAACCACGACUUGAGCUGAGUCAUAUGAAAAACCUCUUCAACAUUUACAACUCCCUCCUUAAAAAGAAUAGAGUUUCUCUAGUUAAUUACAAGAUUAUGCAGAUAUAUUUUCCAGAUGCACACACACUGAUAUUAGAUUGAAAAACAGUGAAACACAAAAACAGCAAACCUUAAUUCCAAAUAAUGUGAUUUAGGUUCAGUUAAGGGCUUGACAAUUAGUGAGGCAAUCUAUCACACUCAACUUGUUUUACUAGCCUUUAACAGAUUAUCAGUGUUCUUAUUGAAACCAGACAGUUUUCCAGAAAUUAAGAACAGUAUGCACAGCGCCCAGAAAGAACACAUUUAUUUUCAAUUGAACAGAUUUAUUUCUUUGCUGUUUUAUCAAUUAUGCAGAAACGAAAUUGCAGAGAGUGAGAGAGAAUGAACACAAGCAGUUAUACUGGUUCACUCAACUGAGCUACAUCCAGUCUUCACCAAAACCAGGUGGAAAUCACUAAAACACAGUACAACCAAGUACAAUUCCCACUGUUCUUGAAACCUACAAGAACUUAGGUACUCUUGCUGAAAAAACCUAUUUCAGCUCACACACACUCUCCAAGAAAACCUAUCAAGAAGAGUGUUCAACCAAACNNNNNNNNNNNNNNNNNNNNNNNNNNNNNNNNNNNNNNNNNNNNNNNNNNNNNNNNNNNNNNNNNNNNNNNNNNNNNNNNNNNNNNNNNNNNNNNNNNNNNNNNNNNNNNNNNNNNNNNNNNNNNNNNNNNNNNNNNNNNNNNNNNNNNNNNNNNNNNNNNNNNNNNNNNNNNNNNNNNNNNNNNNNNNNNNNNNNNNNNNNNNNNNNNNNNNNNNNNNNNNNNNNNNNNNNNNNNNNNNNNNNNNNNNNNNNNNNNNNNNNNNNNNNNNNNNNNNNNNNNNNNNNNNNNNNNNNNNNNNNNNNNNNNNNNNNNNNNNNNNNNNNNNNNNNNNNNNNNNNNNNNNNNNNNNNNNNNNNNNNNNNNNNNNNNNNNNNNNNNNNNNNNNNNNNNNNNNNNNNNNNNNNNNNNNNNNNNNNNNNNNNNNNNNNNNNNNNNNNNNCUUUAGAAAAGAACAGAUUUAUUUUUAUGCAGUAAACGUGUUUUUUUGAAAAAUAGUUUAAGAAAACUUAUGCUUGUUCUUAUCACAUGGCCAGUGGUUAUGAGGUGAGUUACUCAGCAAAAAGCCCUCUUAAACAACCUCUAAGCACUGCCUAAGACACACUUAAAGCAAAACAAAAAUACACAUGAAAUGUACAUAAAAGUCUUCAUCAAACACAAUCUUGAAGGGGCAGCAACCAUCUUCAACAAUCUCCCCCUGUUUGAUGGAGACAAAUCCCCAUAGCUAACCUCAUAGCUUUGUUGCUUUAAGAACCUGCACUGCACCAGAUUUUAAACCAGAAAAAAACAGCAGUAUUGCAUAACAUGAGAAAUGGUUUUAAGGUGCAGAAUUAACUCCCUGUUUCAGCUAGCUUCACCUAGCAUGGUGAGCUAUUUUUCAGCAGCUAUUUUUCUCCCCCUUUGGAUUCAUCAAACAGCAUAUAAGCAUAGGGAAAACAAAAAUGAAACAAAAACCAUAACCAUAAUAGUUCAGAAAAUAAAACCAUAUUGUUCAGCAUUACAGACAUUUGAAAACUGAUAAAGAAAGCAUUAAAAACAGAAGACUACUGGUCUGACACAAAUAGAUGUUGACAUGAUCCCUCCUUGGUCUGACACAAAACACUUUAGUUAGUUGAUAAAAAUAAUCAUAUCCAAUAGUUCAACUUCAAAUUAAAAUUUUGUAUCUAUUUGAUUAUAUUGGUUUAGGUCUCAAGGAUUUGAAGAAUUUUUAACUUUUUUUUAACUAUUACUUGGAUAAAAAGUAACUUUCAAUAGUUUGAUUAUUGAAGUUGGUAGUCUGUGUACUGAAAUUAAAUAGAUAAAUGUAGAUGUGUAGAAGGACUCUUGAAAUUGAUGAUGAUAUGUAAUGUAACACUACCAGAAAAUCAUGAAAUAGUAACCAAUUUUAGAAAAAAAAAAAUAAUUAGUUGUUAUAGUGACUAAAUUAGAGACCAUUUUAGAAACUAAAAAAAACUUUUGCCUUCUAAAUUAGUUUCUAUUAUGGUUAUAUAGUUUAUAAAUUGGUAUUUAAUUAGCUACCAAAGUUUUUGGUAUCAAAUUAGAUUCUAAAUAAUUAGUAGUUAAAACCUUGGUAGCUAAUUAAAUACCAAUUUAAAAACUAUUUAACAAUAAUAAAAACUAAUUUAGAAACGAAUUUUUUUUAGUCUCUAAAAUGGUCUCUAAUUUAGUCAUUAUAACAACUAAUUAUUUAUUGUUUCUAAAAUUGGUUUCUAUUUCAAGAUUUUCUUGUAGUGUAAGGUUCAAAUUGAGUAUUAUUAUUAGUAACGCUAUAAGAAAAUAAUUAAAUAUCAAUUAAUUUAGAUAAAAAAAUUAAUUAUUAUAUUGAUUAAUCUAUAAAUUAAAAAAUUAUUAAUAUUUACAUUAGUUUCUAUUAGUAAUAAAAGUUUAUAAAAUAGUUUUUAAAUUAUUUAACCUUAACUAUCAAGGUUUUAGUACUAAUUACUUAAAAUUAUAAAUUAGUCAUUCAUUUAAUUAAAGACUAUUUUAUAAUCUAAAGUAGUUAAUAACUAAAAUCUUGGUAGCUAAUAUUAUAUAUCAAUUUGAAAAUUAUAAAUUUUUAUUGAUAAUAGAAACUAAUUACUAAUAAUUUUUUAGUUUAUAAAAUAAUAUCUAAGUUAAUAAUAUAAUGACUAAUUGUUUUUUAUCUCUAAAUUAGUUCUUAUUUAAUGAUUUUUUUAUAGUGUAAAAUAUUCUUUAACUAAGUCCAAAACUAUGUUUAACCCUAGUUAGGACUAUGAAAUUUAUUAGAAUUGAUUUUCGAUUGGUUUUUAACUUUAUGCACAAAUUGUUGUUUUCUCCAUAUCUUAUUUGAGUGUUGAGAUUGCUCUAGUGAUGCUCAAGUGAUAACUUUAAUCUUAAGUGCACAACAUCAGUUUGAGUAAGAGAGAGAAAUUAACGAUUCUCUUUUGUCUUGAAAUUUAUCACUCAGAUGAUGAUUGGUCGCUAAAGUGAUGGUCACUUUAGCAAUGGAGUUUUGUAGGUUUGACUAAGUUUUUUAUUUACCUUUUCUUAAAGGGUUUAUCAUUAAAGUGUUGCUUUAAAGUUCAAGCCGUGAUAAAUAUUGAUCAAGCAACAUAUUAUAGCUUGUGUGAGAAAGAUUUGCUUUAAUUUAGAUACUACACAGAGCAUGAGUAAGAAGUUUAAGUGAUAAAAACUCUUUCAAACCACAUUACACAACUAACUUCAGUGAAGAAACUCUGGUGACAUAUUUUCAUGUGUUUUUUUAUUAGUUAGUUAAGCAUCUAUCUUCACUUAAAUGAUGUUGCAUUGGUUUAGACAAUUAUUGAAAUUGUUAUUAAUAAAAUACCAAUACAAGAAAAUUUGUUAUUUCAUACUGGAUUUGGAUUCAUAUAUAAAUUUGCACCUACCUUCAAAUUUUACCAACAAAUUAUUACUCCAGAUAAAAUUGAGUUACUUUGUUAAUGAAAAUGCCGUUAUUAGUUUUAUAGUUCAACCAAUAUUUAAACUGUCACUAUUAGUGUUUUAAUGACAAUAUAACAAAAAAUUAUCAUCCUAAAUGGACUCAAUAAUGAUGAAUAAUAAAGCAAAAUCUGUCAAAAAAAUAAAAAAUAAAAUUUUGAUGGAACACUAAUAAGUACGUUGACGACCAUAAAGUUCGAGAGUCAAAUACUAUGCAUAAACAAAUUGUAGCAAGACUUAAGAUUUUGGGAUCGACUAUAAAUGAAAAAAAUCUUUAUAAAAUUUAUUUUAAACUCAUCAUUAUCUGAGUAUAGCUCAUUUUAAAUGACCAAUAAUACCAUAGCACAACAAGUUGGUUCAAGAAACACUAGUACAAAAUAUGAAAAUAAUGACCAUUUAUUUAGUGCGGCUUUGCGCUUAAACGCAUUUGCAAAAAACGCGGUGACAUUUUUGAAAUUAAAUUGUUUUACAAAUGCGGUUCUAGAGUAAGACCGCAUUUGUAAAUCAAUUCAAAUUAUUUACAAAUGCGGUCUUUACUAUGACCGCAUUUGUAAUUAAUUUCACAUUGAUUUACAAAUGCGAUCUUACUCUAGAACCACAUUUGUAAAACAAUUUUACCGUACAUUGAUUUAUUGAUCUGUGUACUUGGUAGUUUGAGUACUGAAAUUAGAUGGAUUCUUGAAAUUGAUGAUGGUAUGUAAAGUAAGGUUCAAAUUGAGUAUUAUUAUUAAUAAUGUUAUAAGAAAAUAAUUAAAUAGUUAUUAAUUUGGAUAAAAAUAAUUAUUAUUAUAUUGAUUAACUUGAUACUAUUUUAUAAAAUAAAAAGUUAUUGGCUACAUAAGUUUUUAUUAGUAAUAAAAGUUUAUAAAAUAGUUUUAAAUUGAUAUUUAAUAUUAACUAUAAAUAGUUUAUAAAGGUUUUAAUAAUAAUUACUUUACAUUAUAAAUUAGUCACUUAUUUAAUUAAUUAAAGACUCUAAAAUAGUUAGUAACUAAAAUCUUGGUAGCUAAUAUUAUAUAUCAAUUUGAAAAAUAUUUUAUAAAUUUUUAUUAAUAAUAGAAACUAUUUACUAAUAAUUUUUUAGUUUAUAAAAUAGUAUCUAACUUAAUAAUAUAAUGACUAAUUAUUUUUUAUCUUUAAAUUAGUUGUUAUUUAAUUAUUUUUUUGUAGUGUAAAAUAUUAUUUAACUUAGUCUAAAACUAUGUUUAACCCUUGUUAGGACUAUGAAAUUUAUUAGAAUUGGUUUUCGAUGAGUUUUGAGCUUUAUGUAGAAAUUGUUGUUUUCUCCAUAUCUUAUUUGAGUCUUGAGAUUUUUCGACUCACACGAUAACUAUAAUAUUAAGUGCACAAUAUCAUUACUUGAGUAAGAGAGAAGAAAUAACAAUUCUCUUUUUCUCUUGAAAUUUAUCGCUCAAAUGAUGAUUGGUCGCUAAAGUGAUGAUCACUUUAGCAAUGGAGUUUUGGAGGUUUGACUAAGUUUUCAUUUACCUUUUUCUUAAGUUAGAGAAGGGUGUAUCAUUAAAGUGUUGUUUUAAAAUUCAAGUAAUGAGAAAUAUUGAUCAAGCAACAUAUUGUAGCUUGAGUGAGAAAGAUCUUGAUAAAUAAUUUUGCUUUAAUUUAGAUAGUACACAAAGCAUGGGUUAGACGCUUAAGUGAUAAAAACUCUUUCAAACCACAUUACACAACUUGAGUAGUGGUUCACAUUUAUUUUAUUUAUUUUUUAUUGUUGAUAAAAAAAAAUACAACUUGAGUGAAGAAACUUUGGUGACAUAUUUUCAUGUGUUUUUUUAUUAGUUACUUAGGCAACCUAUCUUCACUUAAGUUGAUUGAUUUAUACUGGAUUUGGAUUCAUAUAUAAAUUUUCACCUACCUUCAAAUUUUACCUACGAAUUAUUAUUACAGGUAAAAUUGAGUUACCUUGUCAAUGAAAAUGUCAUUGUAAGUUUUAUAGUUCAAUCAAGACUUAAACCGUCACUAUUAGUGUUUUAAUGACAAUUUAGCACAAAAUUAUCAUCCUAAAUGGACUCAAUAAUGAUGAAUAAUAAAGACAAAUCUGUCAAGAAAAUAAAAAAGAAAAAUUGAUGGAAUGCUAAUAAGUACGUUGACCACCAUAAAGUUUGAGGAGUCAAAUACUACUCAUAAACAAAUUGUAGCAAAACUUAAGAUAUUGGAAUUGACUAUGAAUGAAAAAAUCCUUAUAAAAUUUAUUUUAAACUUAUCAUUAUCUGAGUAUAGCUCAUUUCAAAUAACCUAUAAUACCAUACUAAAAAAUGGAAUGUAUCAAAUUGCACAACAACUUGGUUCAAGAAAGAACAAGGUUUAAAAAUUAGGAAAAGUAACUUAGUUUAUUAUGUAAGUCAUAAAAAAAGUUAAAGAACUAGAAAAAAAUUUAUGAGAAAACAUGAUAUAGGUAUGUUAAAGGUUAAUCAAACAUCUAAAAAUCUAAAAGACAAUAAUCGUCAUUUAUGUGAAAAACUUUCAUAUUUUGAGAAGGAUUACUGAAAACAUAAAGUUUUGGUUCAAAAGAAGGUAAAACUUAAUGUUUACCUAUACUAAUCAAAUUUAACUAAAGGAGGGAUUACUUAGUGUUUAAAUCAUAAGUUUAAAUAAAAUAUUCUUUAUAAAAAAAUAAAGUGAUGAAAACUCUAGUGGAAGCGGUCUGAUCUUAUCUUUUACAUAUUUUAAUUUUUUUAAUUUUAUUUUAUUAAUAUGAAAAGUGAAUAUAACAUAAUAUAUUACACACCAUGAGUUUAUUCUGUUACUUUAAAAUGUAUAAAAACAAACAUGAAACACAUAAACAAGCAAUUAGAAAUAACACUAAGGAAAUUAUCUCAGUUAAAGAAAUUCAUGAAAUAAAAACUAAUUUUAAGAACAAAAAAUAAUUAGUUCGUUAUAGUGAUUAAAUUAGAAACAUUUUAUAAAUUAAAAAAACUUUUGGUUUCUAAACUAGUUCCUAUCAUUAUUAAAUAGUUUUCUCUAAUUAACUACCAAAGUUUAAACUACCAAUUAUUUAGAUUUUAAAAUAUUCUUUAAUUUAGUCACUAUAACUCCCAAUUUUUUUUUUAUGUCUUACAACCAAAGUAUCCUAGGUAUAUGUGUUUGUUGAUUUUUUGGUGAAUUGUAUUUGUAGAGAUAAUGCAUGUAUAAGGGUUGGAACACUCCUAAAAUGUUUCAUUUAUUUUAUUUUAUAUAUUCACUGAUAAAAAAUAUUAAUUAUUUUUUAUCUUUAAAAUUGAUUUUUAUUUCAUAUGAUAAGAGACAGAUUCUUCUACUUGAUGAACUCCAUAACCUCUAAAAUGUUGACGUGACAUUCAUAUCUGAUGCCACUGAAUCCAGCUGCUCUUGCCAAUUCCAUGAACUCUUCUUCACAUCGCUCUUUACCUCCUGGGUUCUGAGUCAUCAUCGCAACAUCCAUUUGUGCAACCCCCUUAUAAGCAUUAUUAGUCUCUGGUAACUUUGGAAGAAUUGACUCCACAACUAUCACCUUUCCAUCAUCAGGAAUUGCAUCAUAGCAAUUCUUCAACAGCUUCACACAAUGUUCAUCACUCCAGUCAUGAAGUAUCCACUGUACAAUUACUUAAUGUCAAACCCCAUUGAAUAUAACUCAUGCAUCAGUUUGAACUAAACUCUUUUUUCAACCAACUAUUAUUCAUAUAUUUCCCUCCUCACUGACACUUUACCUUCAUAAAUAUGGCGUCUCCUUUAGGCACACUUUCAAACAUGUCUCCCUCAACGUGUUCCACUCCUGCAAAAUCUUAUUGUCUUGUAAAAUCUCAAAGUUGACCAAAUAAGUCUUCAAAAGACGAAAAGAACAUAUUUUUUUUUUAAAUUUAGAUUGGAACGUGUAAGGGUGAUACCAGGAUAGGAAGGAGCAUCUCGAAUGACAUGAGGCAAGUCGAAAUUGAUGCCAUGAAUAUCAGGGUAUUUAGAAGUGACCAAGUUAAUGUUGAUUCCAAGACCACCACCAACAUCCACCAGUGUUUUUAUGCCCUCAAAACCUUUGUAGGAUUCCACAACCUUCUUCAUCACCAAAGUGGUGUGAUUGAUCAUUGCUGUGUUGAAAGCCUUAUUGAAUCUUGAGUCCAAACGUGGAUAGUCAAAAGCAUGAGUGCCAUGAACCCUGUUGAAUGGAAUACCCCCCUCCCUAAUUGCAUCUUUCAGCUCACUCCUAAUAAUGUAUAAACAAACUUAUUUCACUUGAGCAAAUGAAGAAACAUUUACUUCCAAUCACAUAAUUUAGCAGAUCGCAUACAAUCAUAAUGCUGAAAUAGCAAACCCUGUUUUGACUCAAUCAUGUGGCUUUAUUCUUUUAUUUUAUCACAACACUUAUCACCCGCAUUAAAUUUGAACUAUUGUAUCCCUUUGAUUAGCAAGAGAGAGAAUGAAAGAUUGCAACAUCAAGGAGUCAAAACUGUGACCAACGACAAACAAAUUGCACACAGACCAUGACAAAGUUUGUAGAGAAUCAUCACUAGUUUUUUUGGUAUAAUUUAAGAGUGAAGUGUUGGAUUUCUUUAAGAUUUUACUUUAGAUCAAUUGAAGGUUUUGAUCCUUUAAAAAAAAUAAUAUAAUAGUUGAAAGAGAGUGAGUUGAACCAGCUUUGUAGGAAGAUUUUGUCUUGGACCAAGGCCAUCGCGGGCCACAACGAAACUCCAUCAGAAUUGGGAACAAAGAAUGCGGCGACGGGAGUCAUGGUGUAGAGCCGGUGAAAGGUGGGAGGAACACGGUGGUCGGAAGCGAGGGAAGAGUUAAGAAUGGAGUGAGAAGAAAGAAGUGCGAGGAGACGAUCUAGCAUUGAGGCUGCUUCUGGGUUACUGCAACUAAUCUUUGAUGCUAUUUCCUUAGCAGAAAGCUUAGCACCUUCUCCCGCUUCUUGCAGCACCUCAAACACUCCCAGCUCCGUCGCCGAUUGCACUGCCAUCGGAAGGACCACCGAACCUACAAUCUCCAUGGCUCGCGAGAAGCUUUCUGCAUCUUCUAUUUCUGAAUCUGGAAGGGUUGCCAUCUCCACUUGAACACCUGCAAAUCACUCACAACUUCCACACCUUAAACUAGUAUAUAUUUACACACUACUCUUCUUCUUUCCCUUACGAAGACAAGAAAGAGAAGAGAAGGGAAGAAAAAAGAAGAGGUCUAUAUAUAAAGGGAAAAAAUCUUAUCCUUAACCUUCCUUUUUCAGUGCUUUUUUUUAAGGUAUUUUUUUACAAAUUAAACAAUUUUCUUCUUUAAUUUUAUAGUUUUGAAUAGGCUGCUAUAUAUUAACACAUUCAACCCUAAAAACACACAUUUCCCGUUAUAAUAAGUUAAUAUUUUAUUUUAUUUUUUAAUUUAAUAAUAUUAUUAUAUUAUUAUAAACAGUGUCAAAUGUAAUUUUUUUUACUGUUUAUGUGUUCAUGCAAUAUUUUUCUCUUUUGAAUAAACAUAUUUCAAUGAUAAUAAAUAAUUUAAAAUUAAUUUCUCUGAAUUUAAAAUAAAUGAUACUUGUUUAGCUAAAGUAAAUAUAAUGUGUAUUUUUUAUAAUAAAAAUAAUUAUGAAUAAUUACUGCAAUAUUUAUUAUUUUAGUGAAACUAUCUAUGGUAACUCUCUUGUAAAACAAACAUGACUUACGAAUCAAUAUUGAUCAUCAUUUUUUAGCCAUGAUUUUUAAGCUACAUUUUUGUGAAAUGACUUUUAAAAAAAAUGCAUCACGGGAAAAGUAGUGUGACCUAAAAUAAUAAAAAUAUGGAAAUUUUUCUAUUUUGAAAAUAGAAGGAAAUUUUUUUAGAAAUGUAACUUACAAAUAUUAUACAUCAUGUGUCAUAAAAGGUGGAUAAUUUAAACCACAGAAUUUUUAAUGUGGCUUAUAAUAAUUAUCAAUAAACAAUAAAAAAAUUGUGAACUAAAAACCUCUAUCUUAUAGUUAAAAUCUUUAAAAUUAAAUCUAUGAUAUUUUUUUUUUUAUGUUUUUAAAUAUUAUACGGAGGUUUUGAAACUUAUGAUAUUGUAUGGAGAUUCUUAAACCCAUUAUAUUUAACCGAGGUUCUAAAAGAUGAAAUUAAAAAAUCCUUAAAGAACAUGUUUUUUUUAUGAAUGGUUUAGCGUGUAACUUUAGAUAAAUAACUUAAUAAAAAAUUUUACCUCGAAUAAUGUAAAAAGAAACCACUUUUUUUCUUAUAGUUUUUAUAUGUGUUUUCAUUAAUGAAUAUAUAUAUUUUCUUUAAUAAUAUAUUGUAAAUUUUUUGUUGAGUUAACUUUACAAUAUGUUAUAUAUAGGUUUCUUUUGAAUUAUUCAGAAGUUUAUAUUGAAAAGAAUGGAAUAAAAAUUUGAGAAGGAAGACCAUCAUGAUUCAUACAAUUAACUACUGUCUGAAAAUAAUUUUUAAAUAUGUUUUUUAAUUGAAACCCGAAAAAUUAUCAUAAGUUUUUGUGAUGUCAUAAAAGUAUAAAAAUGGAAUAUCUUUUCAAUCUAAUGUAAAAAUAAGGCAGAAUGUUAAUUAUAAUAUUGGAAAUGAUUUUUACUAUUUCUUCUGUAAUUGGCUAGAUUUUGUAUAAAUUGUCAAAAUACUCCUAAUUAAUCAAUUUAAGAAGUCUAAAAUUGAUUUUUAGUGAGAAUAUUUUGAUACUUUUUAUCUUUAAAAGUUGAAGUCAAGUUUAUCAGAAUGAUCAUGAGUACUUUGAUUAUUUUAUACAAAAUUAUAUAACUAUAGUAAAAAUUUUAUAAUUAUGUAAUAUUGUAGAUCAUAUUAUAAGUGUAAAAUAAAGUUCUGAAUAUUGUGCUUAUUGUUAUCACUGUAAAGUAAAGUAAUAAACUAAAUUACUGCUGUUCAAUUUGACCGUUCUGAAAAUAAAAUAUAUUACCCUUAUGAUCAAAUUGAUAAUACUGUUAGUGAUGAUUUGCAAAUUUUUAAAAAAAAAUCCUUUAACUCUUAUUUGUAAAGGAAUCCAUCCAUUAUUACCCUGUUAGGGAUAAUACUAUGAGUUAAAUCCACUAAAAAACGAUCAUUUACCUUCCACGGUGAUUUAACUUUCAUAUGUAUGUGUGAGUUCACAUUUAACUUUCAUAUGUAUGUGUGAGUUAAGUGUGAACGUGAUUUUUUUAGACCAAAUCCAUGCAAAAUUGAUGCAAAAGUAUAUUUUUUUGGAAAUCUGACGCAUAAUAGACGUAAAUAUAGAUUUAAAUAAAAAAUGGACUAUAAUUUAUAUUUAUUUAAUGUAUAAUAUGGUAAAAAAUAUUAUAAUUUUUACUUGUUUAUUGUAUUUAUUUUAAUUUUUUUAAUAAUUUUGGUAUAUGUUAGUUAAUAAAUUGAUUACGUGUUUAUUUUUAAAUUAUUUUAAAAAAAUAUCUUAAACAAUUUAAAAAGAAUUGAAAAAUGUUAAAAAAUAAUAAUUGAGUAAAAGAAAAAAUGUAAUUAAAUUUAUAAAUGUUAUACAAAAUACUUAAAUUUUUUAAAAAUUAAUUAUUUUAAUUUAAUUUCAUUUAUAAUAAGUAUUUAGAUAUAAAUUAGUUAAAUUAAAUUUAUUAAAUUGAUUAAUAGUUUAAUUUAAAAUUAUUUAAAGAAUUAUCCUAUAAAGUUUAUAAAGAAUUGAAAGAUGUAGAAAAAUAAUAAUUGGGUAAAAAAAUACAUAUUUAAAUUUUUAAAAUAUUAUGUAUUUAUUUUUUGUUGUAUAAAUUAAAUAUAUGUUUUGUUCUAUAAAUGAAAUUAAGUUUUUUUUUCUAUAAAUUAAAAUAAAUUUUUGUUGUAUAAAUUGAAUUUAAUUGUUUUGUAUAAAUUAAAGAAAGUUUUUCUUAUAAAUUAUAUCAUUUUUUUAUACAUUAAAUUUAUUUAUUUGUUAUAUAAAUUUAAAAUAAAAUAAAUUAAAUUUUUGAAAGUUUGAAUAUAAUUUUUAUUAAAUUAUAUUUAAGCUACAUACUUAUGAAAAUUUUCAAGUGCCUCACAUUAAUAAUAAUAAGUAUAAUAAAAAUCAUAAUAUUACAAAAGAAUUUGUCUGGUUUAGUGGUUAAAGCUUAUUUGGUCACGGAAAAAAAUAAAUAAUCACUUGACAACUUAACUUUUAAGAGUAAUGUGAUUAUUGAAUUUUUUUUUUAAUUAUAAGAAAAAAUGAAAAUAUGUUUUUAUUUAAUUUAACAAAACUUAUUUUCUAAUUAGUUAUUUUGACCAUUCAAUACCCAAGUUUUUUUUGUUUUAUUGAUGAAUGUUCUUUUUGAAAAUUCUACUAUAUCAAAAUUCAAGUCUUUUUUUCUACUAGAGUCACUACAAAAAUUUAUUAUUUUAAUAGAGAUUUAUUCGUGGAGGUUUUUAUAACAUCUGGUAAUGGACACUGUUAGUAGAGGUUUCUUAAAUCCCUGAUAAACAUCAAUAGUUUUUUAAUAAGUCAAAGUAAAAUAUUUCAAUUUUCUUCCUUUCUCCUAGAGAAACAAUGCUCUCUAACGUCAACCCUAGGUUAUUUCUCACAUUUUUUGUUUUCAUUUCCAACUUUCAAAAUCCAACAAGACCCCAUUCUCUUCUUUCACUCUCUAUUUCGUCUUCUAUUUUCAUCCUCAUCUAGCAAUCAUCUCUUUCUCUCGCAUUAUUUUCAUCAUCAUCUUCUAUUUGACUCUGGCUCAGAUUCACUUUUCCAAGCCUUCAGGAAGAGAGUGGCAAUGUUGUAUUCCAGGAAGAGCGAGUCAAUAUAUAACUUCUUCUAUUUCAUCAUUCCAAACUAUGUACACAUACGAAGAAACUAAUUUCAUAUUUUUCUGAUAGAAACUGAUUGAAGGAAGAUUUGGUGAUGUAAUGGAGGAAGUCGUGAGGACUCACCAAGCUAUCAAGUAAGACAGAAAUCUCUCACUUAAUUUUAACCUCUAACUUUGACUUGUCUGUUUACUUAACAUAUGUAAUCUUUAACAAAAAUAUUAACAAGAAAAUACGAUAGAGUAACGUGUAUAGAGUAACGUGUAUAGAGUGAUGCAAUAAUGUAUUAGAGUAUUGUAUCAGUAUUUCCAUUGCAUAUUAGAAUUUAGUUAAUGAAACCCAGUUUUAACAAUGAGAGAUGGAAUUUGUGAAGAAAUGGUGAAUGAGAUUUAUGAAAAAAAAAGGAAGAAAUUGAAAAUGCAUUGAGUUAGUUUGAAUCUGUUUUGAUAUUUGUAUUAAUGUGUGAAAUGAAAGUCUCUAUAUUCUAAUGGAAGAUGAAGAGCUCUUUCUGUGGCAAUCAUGCUCCUAUUCUUCAAUAUCAUAAUCAUUUCCGACAAAGUUAUUAGCUGUAGUGGAAUAGUUUGACUUGCCAAGAUUGAAGCUCAUGUGUGAAUCAAUAUUUUGUAGUGACAUAUCUAUAUAUUUUGUUCCAUAUAUUCUGGUUCUUGCAAAUCGUUAUCGUGCUAAUGAGUUGAAGUCCAUCUGUCAAAAAUUUUGUGUUGAAAACUAUGAUGGUGAGAGUUCCUACUUAACUACUCAAAUUGAGUUUUCAGUUUAGAAUGUUUUAGCCUGAAACAUGGUUUCUGCAUUAGUUGUUAAUGUUUGGAAGUUGAUUCUCAUAUUCUUUCAUCAUUGUCUGUUGCAGCUGUGAAGAAAUCUGGUGGUUUGGAGUAUCUCAGGCAAAGAGGUGAAAGUUCAAAGGUUCACAUUUCUAAUGCUGAUAACAACAACAAUAAUCCAUUAGGCAUUACUUUUAAGAUUUGGAAUGAUCAAGAAAAUUAGUUGAUUAUAAAGACUAUGUACUCUUGAUAAAAAAAAAGAUAAUGUAUUACUUAGAAGGUACCAUGUUUCUUCAUUAUAUUAUUUUGUUGGGUAGUUAGUUGUAUUAAAUAUUAAUUUAUGUUUUCCUAUUUAGCAAAAAUAAAUUGAAUAAACUUGUACUGGAUUUAAUACUUUUACUUUUUGAUGCGAAUUAAAUGAGUUUACAAUGUUUAUGAUAUUCUCAUUAUUAUAACUUUUAUGAAAUAAGUUUAUUAUAUUCUCUAUGAACGUAGAUCCAUGAAGGAACAAGAAAAAAAAUCAUAAUUAGAGGUAGGUACAAAACUUUUGUUCUGCACGGAAACAUUUUCCAAAAAUAUAUGGGAUUAUUAUGAGUCAAGUCUUGCACAAUUAUUUGAGGUUCAGAACAAACUCUACAAUGUAAGACUUGAUUAUUUUCAUUCAAAAAAUUAUCUUGAUGAUGAUAUAUAUAAGUGAUGAAGUACCACAUACUAAUUCAAAUCUAAAACACAAUCACGACCAACUAGAUUUAACUUAUGAUAUAAACAUAUAUAUAUAUAUAUAUAUGCCUCGGUUUCAUCAGUACUUCAUCUCAAAAUAAUAGAUUUUUUAUUAUAAUAUUACUCAUUAUAUGAAUAAUAAUAAUAAAAAGACAAAUUGAAGGGUUAUUUUAUUCAAAAAUUUUAUUAUUUGUCACAUAUUUUUUAUAUAUCCACCUCCUAGAAAUAAUAGGAGUUUUCAAACUGCCGGAAAUAGCGGGAGUUUUCAAAAUCGUCGGAAAUAGUGAGGUUUUCAAACAGUUGAAAAUAGCGGGGGUUUUCAAAACAGUCGGGAAUAACGAAGGUUUUCAAAACUGUUGGAAAUAGUAGGGGUUUUCAAAUUGUCGGGAAUAACAGUAAUCACUUAGCGACGUUGAAUCUUUCAUAGAAAAAGCAAACCGCGAGUAAUACACUUAACAUGGGUUAAAACUGCAAAAAAUAACCCAUUAAAAUUAAUUUAUUUUUGUAGUGAGUAUGUUUUUCUAUAAGAGUAUUUUAAGGGUAUAGUUUUGUCAAGAGUAAUUUUUGUUUGUAACAAGUAGAAUCAGUAUUAUAAAUAGUUUUUCUUUUCCAUUAUAAUCAAAGAUUUACCUUUUCAUAACUUCUGUAAUAAAUUUUCAUUAAAUAGUAAUGUAGAGUGCAAAAAUAAAAUUUUAUAUCUGAUUUAGAACAAUAUUAAAAAACCUUAUGAUAUUUGGUACAAUAUUCUGAAUAACAAAAAAAUAUUUUAUUUCUUAUAACAAAAAUUAUAAUUUCCUAUUCUAACAAAUUUAAAAACUAUUUUAAAUUAAAUUUUUUGAAUAUUUAAAAAAAUUAGAGAAAUUUGAAUUUGAAAAAAAAUAUAAAGAAUCCAAAUUUUACAAUUUUACCCUUUAAAUAACUAUUUUUUUUAAAAUUCAAAUAAUUCUUUCCAAUAAAAAAUAACCUACACAAUAAAAAAAAUUGCAUACAACAAACUUAAAAAAUUAAUUAUUUUUGUAAUAAUUUUUAAUAAAAAUAUUUUUAUAAUUUUAUUUCAAUAGUUAUUAUAAUAAUAAUUUUUUUAUAAAGAAAAAAAGUGUAGUUAUUCCUCUUUAAAAAAAUAUAUUUGUUUACUAUAUAAAAUAAAUAAUUUAUUUUUAUUUUAUUUUAAAAUAAUAAAUAAUUUUUCUUAAAAGUAAUUGAUAUAUAUGGAUAAUAAUUUCUACCUUAUAUAAAUAUUUUUAAAUAAAGAAUAAAAUAUAUUUUAAAUUCAUGUUUUUGUACAUAGUAAGAUUUAUAAUAAUAUUUUAAAUUUAUAUCACAUAUUAAUUAUAUAAUAUUUUAUAAUAAAAUAAAAUAAAAAUGCACUUAUAGGUCUGUGUUUUCAUUAGUUAGUAAUAAUAAUAAUAAAGAUAAAAGUAAUGUAUUUAUUCUAAAACAAUAUGCACAAAGUUUUUUCGGAUUCUGUAUAAAUGGUCAAAAAUUCACCUUUUUUUUCAUUAAAAGUGAUGCAUAUUACGAAAAUUUCAUUACUCCAAUCUCUUAUAGUCAAAUUGUUGGAAUGGAGUUCCAAUUUUGUCAUGGUUUGUUAGUGCUUUAUUAAUAUAAUUUUGGCAAAAAUUUGGUGUUUGAUACAAAACUUAAGAAUUAAAAAAUUACAAUCUUUUUCUAAAUUAAUUUAUGCACAAGAUAAUUUUAUAAUUUUGAAAAAUGUAUUUUUUAUUAUUUGAAAUAUUUAUAAAAUUUGUCCACUAUUUAAUACACGAAACAAUAAUAUUCUAGCUUUAUUUCUACGAAAAAUAAAUAUUAAAGUAUGCAAUCAAUCACUACCACCUUGAUUAAAAGUCGACUCAAUUUAUCAAAUAUCAUUAUUUACACUUUUAUUUCUCUCUCUAACAUUCUUUUGUUUUUAUUUCUUUAUCUAGCACCCUUUUAUUUUUAUUUUCCUACCUAUCACUAUUUCAAAAGUAAAAAAAUAAUAAUAAUUUUUUUUUUAAUUUUGAAUGGAUUAAAAAAAUAAAUAUUUUUAAUGUUUAAAAUAGUUAUUAAUGAAUAAAGAAAUGAGUUUCUAAAAAAUAAAAAUAAUAAAUAAUAAAUUAAAAAUGUUUAGUUUAAUUUUUUUUAAAUGAAGAAAAUGAAAAUUUAAGCCUACAACAACAUAAAAGUUGAAUAUAUAAACAUAAAUUAGUAUUUAUUUUUAUUAUUAUUUAUGAUGUAAUCAUGUUAAUUUCAAGUAAAAAAUAUAGGAUAUAAUUAUAAAAAAAAUCAAAAUCAAAAUCAAUUAAUAUUAAUUUGUAGUGGACACAUAGAUAAUAUUAUAGUGUCUACUCAUUUUUAAGCAUUAAGUAUAACAUUUGCAUUAAUUUUUUUUUUAGGAUUUUGCAUUUAGGGUAGACACUUCAAUAUUAUAUGGGUGUCAACUACUAAUUAAUACUAAUUUACUUUGUUUUUUUUUAUAAUUAUGUCCUGUAUUUUUUACUUGAAAUUAACAUGAUUACAUCAUCAAUAAUAAUAAAUAAAUACAAAUAUUCAUUUGUGUUUAUAGAUUCAACUUGUAUGUUGGUGUAGGGUUUAAUUUUUUAUUUUCUUCAUUCUUAAAAAAUAUUUAAACUAAACGUUUUUAAUUUAUUAUUAUUUUUUUGUAAAAAAUAUUUCUUUAUUCAUUAAUUAUAUUUCUAACUAUUUUAAACAUUAAAAAUAUUUAUUUUUUUAAUUUAUUCAAAAUUAAAAUUAUCAAUUUUUUUAAUUUUUUAAUUUAUUUUUUUACUUUUGAAAUAGUGUUAGAUAGGGAAAUAAAAACAAAAGGGUGCUAGAUAAGGAAAUAAAAACAAAAGGGUGUUAGAUGGGAAAAUAAAAAUGUAAAUAGUGUUAUAUGAGGAAUUGAGUCUCAAAAGUCUUCUCAUAAUUUAAAUUUAAAUUUGAUUUCUUUAAGCUAACUCCUUUAUGAAAUUUGUAUUAUUUUAAUAAUAUACACUACAAGAAAAUCAUCAAAUAGAAAUCAAUUUUAGAGUAAAAAAUAAUUAGUUGCUAUAGUGACUAAAUUAAAUAUCACUUUAGAGACUAAAAUAUUUUUUAGUUUCUAAAUUGGUAUCUAAUUAAUAUCAAGGUUUUAAUGACCGAACUGUUUUGUUCAGGUUCGUUAUUAUACUGAGUUAAAAACUUUGGUUAGGUGCCGACCAAACUGCUCAGGAGAUAAGGGAAUAUUUCAAUCACAAAUCCUACAAUAUUUGUUAAAGAAGUAGUAGAACACCAUUUAUCAUUUCAAAAAUUAAUAAAAGUACAUGUACCAAUAGUCUAAGAAAUAUAAUCAAGUAUAUGAGAAUAAAAUUGUAUAAUUCCAGGCCAAAGAUAUGAGGAUCUAUAAACCAUUCUAAACUCAUAUUUUGAUUUAAGAACCCUGACUUUCAGGAGAAAAGACAAAGGUCUGUUACUAUAAACAAAGUUCCAAGCAAGCUUAAGAAGAUAUAUAUUAUUUUCACGAUGAAGGUUAAUAAUCUUCAAACCUCAUUCUAAAAAGGAAAACAAAUCGUAACCCAAUUAGUGGUAGAUAUGCAUUUUUUCAAAAUAUCACCAAUCGAAAUAAAAUUUCGACACCCUUCUCAACUUGCUUAAAAAGUGAAACAUAUAUACCAUUUGUACACAUUAAAUAUAUAAACUAGAAAUUCAAUAAUCACCAUAUUAACCAACUAAAUCAACCCAUCAUGCUAAGAAAUAAGUUGUUCAAUUCCUUAUUCAGAAGGUAUUUGAACUUAUAUUAUUAGCUUCAUCAUUUAAAAAAAAAGUUCAUCUCAAAUAGUUUAACUCUAGAUUAAUUUUUUUAUAUUAUUUGAUUUUAUUAUUCCAUACGUAUAGAUUUGAAGAAUCUUUAACUUUUUGUAACUGUUAUUUGGAUAUUUAGUAACUUUCACAUAAAAACUUUUCAAAAUUGAAAUUGAUUUCUAAACUGUAUGAGUCUUAUUGUUUUAAAUUGGUGGCUUGAGUAUUGAAAUUAAAGAAAUAGACAUUGAGGUUUAGGGUUUUUUUGAAAUUGAUAAGAGUAUGUGAAGGUCAACUUGAGUAAUAUUAGUUAUUUUGAGCUUUAUGUUUUUUUUAUCAGCAAAUAGUAAUGAAAUUAAAUGAGACAAAUUCAGGGGUGGUCCAACCCUUAUACAGCAAAAUGAUGCUCACAAAGUACCUUUCCAUCUACAUAUCAACCAAAAAAAUAACAAAGAUCAACCAAUAUAAAAAACUAAAUUGAAUGCAUACAUACCAAGGGUUCUAGACACCAAUCAGAGAAUGAAAAAUUAGCUGACGGUAUUUUUGAAGAGAUCUAGGACCAAACCUUAAUCUGUGUCAGAGAGAACACUUCAGUAUGAUCAACCACUCCACCUUUAAAUAAACAGUUAUUCUUGUGCCUCCAUAUCUCGCUAACCAACGCAAUCCACAAGUUGCCCAUAAUAAGAUUAACUGAAGUGGGUGCAUCCAGAAUCUUGAAAUGUUCAAAAUGAGACCCAAGAUCCAUAAAAUCGACUGAUCUUAGUCCUAACCAGUCAUAACAAAGAUUCCAAAUUAGCCAAGCAACUCUACAUUCGCCGAACAAAUGAUUUGUUGACUCCUCUGACCUCCUACACAAGCAACACAAAUUACUCUCGACCUCGAUUCCUCUUCUCUUCAGAUUAACCCUACAAGCAACCUUGUUUUCAAUCACUCUCCAAGAUGUGACUUGAGCUGAGGGAAGCGCCCUAAUUUUCCAGAAAAAAUUAUAACUUCUUGAGUCUUCCUCACUUCCUUCUCCCCUUUAAAAACCAUAAGCGAACUUAACUGAAAGCUCUAUUGAAUCACUAUCCUUCCAAACACAUCUAUCCAUUGUUUCCAUCUCGAGCAUCUUAGUAGAGAUCAUCUCUAAGAAUUGACUUUCUUGCUCCUCUUCCCAAGCGAACAUACCCCUUCUCCACCUUAAGUUCCACUCCCAAGUCCUGUUCCCCCAUAUACCACAAUCACAUAAAUUUGCCUCCUUAUUAACAAACAAAGAAAAUAAUCUUGGAAAUCCAAUCUUCAAGGCUUCUGAGUCUAUCCAAUUGUCUGACCAAAACAUAACCUCUCUCCCGUUUCCGACCUCCAAAUUCAAACGAUCUUCAAACUUCCUUCCCCAUUCCUCAAACCUUCCUUAAAUCUCUCCACCACAUAAAGACCUUACUAUUAUUACCUCGCUGCUCCUUCAAACCUCUCUAUCCUCCAUACUUAGAUUCCAAUACCUCCCUCCACAACCCCUGUUUCCGUUUUCAAACGCCAAAUCCAUUUUUCCAUUAGAGCCAAAUUAAACUGCCUGACAUUCAUAAUACCAAGCCCUCCUUCUUCCUUGGAUUUACAAACCUUAUCCCAUGCCACCCAGACAAUCUUCCUUCCAUCUAACCCCCAUCCCCACAAAACAUUCAUCUGCAGGCUCACAAUCUUCUUUAAAACAAUAGGCAAAAUCUUGAAUAGAGAAAGAUAAAACAAAGGUAUUGACGACAAGACCGACUUAAUUAAGCAUAUCCUCCCCGCCAUCGAGAUAAAUCUUUCUUUACCCUGUUAACCACUUCAUCCCAUAACUCACCCCUCUUAUGACACCCCCCUACAGGCAUCCCCAAAUACUUAAAAGGAAUUCUCAUCAUCUCACAAUUUAGAAUUGUCGCAAAGUGGAGAAUCUCCGACUGCUCCAUCCCAAUCCCACCAAGUUUACUCUUAGAAAAAUUCACCUUAAGACCAUAUACCAAUUCAAAAUAGUUCAACGUUACCUUUAUAUUAAAAACACUUUUGCUAUUUGCCUUACAAUACAACAAUGUAUAUAUUGUUAUUGUUCUAUAAUUAAAUUUUAGCGUAAAGAUUGUUAGAGUGAUGCUUAAGCAAACUUUAACCUUAAGUGAAAAGUAUUAUUAUUUAAGUAAGAGAGACAAUAAUAAUAAUCUCUUCUCUUGAAAUUCAUUACUCAAAUAAUGAUUAAUUACUCAGUUUGAAUGUAAAAAUUAAGUGAAAAAUAUUAUUGUUUAAGAAAAAGAGACAAGAGAAAAAUCUUCAUAACAAACUUUAUUUUAAUCUUAAGCCACAUCACACAACUUUAUCACAGGCUUAAUAUUGACUUAUUUUUCAUGAAAAGUGUAUAUAACAUAAUAUAUUAGAAUGCAUAAAAGCAAACAUGAAACACAUAAACAAGCAAUUAGAAAUAACGUAUGAUGUGGUCUACUUGAAGAACUCCAUAACCCAGAAAAUGUUGACACGACAUUCAUAUCUGAUGCCACUAAAUCCAGCUGCUCUUGCCAGUUUCAUGAACUCUUCUUCAGAUCGUUCUUUACCUCCCGGGUUCUGAGUCAUCAUCGCAACAUCCAUUUGUGCAACCGUCUUAUAAACAUCAUUAUUCUCUGGUAUCUGUGGAAGAAUUGCCUCCACAACUAUCACCUUUCCAUCAUCAGGAAUUGCAUCAUAGCAAUUCUUCAACAGCUUCACACAAUGUUCAUCACUCCAAUCAUGAAGUAUCCACUGUACAAUUACUUAAUGUCAAACCGCAUUGAAUGAAGUUGGUAUAAGUCAUGCAUCAGUUUGAAUUAAACUCUUUUUUCAACCAACUAUUAUUCAUAUUCAAGACAAGAAACAUGUUCAUACUUUGUAUUAAAUACAUAAAAAAAAACCAAAUAAUGUUUGAAUAUUAAUGUUUAGAAAUUUAAACUAAUAAAGUCAAACAAAGGGGUUAGAGUUAUGAUAUUUUGACAUGGUCAAAACAAUAUUAAAUGCACAUGCUUAUUAAUUUAAUAAAUUAAUAUUUUAAUUAUAUUGAUUUUAUAUUUUAAUUUAAAAUAUUAUCAUAUUAUUAUAAGGUGUUAUGAAGUGAAUCUGUUUAGAGUUUCAAACCAUAUUUUUCCAAUUAAAUAGUAGUAUAUUUCCCAGACCGAGACUUACCUUCAUAAAUAUGGCGUCUCCUUUAGGCACAUUUUCAAACAUGUCUCCCUCAACGUGUUCCACUCCUGCAAUAUUAGAAAGUAAAUAGUACACACUAUUUAUGUUAUUGUCUUGUAAAAACUCAAAGUUGACCUUCAAAAGACGAAAAAACAACAUUUUUUUUUUAAAUUUUGCAGAACCACAGGAUUGGAAUGUGUAAGGAUGAUACCAGGAUAGGAAGGAGCAUCUCGAAUGACAUGAGGCAAGUCGAAAUUGAUGCCAUGGAUAUUAGGGUAUUUGGAAGUGAUCAAGUUAAUGUUUAUUCCAAGACCACCACCAACAUCCACCACUCUUUUUAUGCCCUCAAAACCUUCGUAGGACUCCAGAACCUUCUUCAUCACCAAAGGGGUGUUGAUCAUUGCUGUGUUGAAAACUUUAUUGAACCUUGAAUCCAAACGUGCAUACUCAAAAGCAUGAGUGCCAUGAACCCUGUUGAAUGGAACACCCCCCUCCCUAAUUGCAUCUUUCAGCUCACUCCUAUAAUAAUAUAUAAACAAAUUACUAGUACCAUACAGAAAUACAUGAAAUCUUUAAAAAUAUAAGAUACGGAAACAUAAAUCUAUAUCUAUAACUAUAUAUAAAGAUGAUUUUUCAUUAUAACCAUUUUUUGGUAUACACAAUUUUUUUAUGAUUCUAUCCUUAUUCAAUAUAUCUCAUCUUAUUAGUAUUUUAUCAUUUCAUAUAAAUUAUUAAAAAAAUAAAAUUAUUUAUUAAUUUGUUAAAUUAAUGUUAUGUGACAGUCUUUAUAUGUAAACUAACUUCUCACUCUUCCUUUACUUUCCUAUUAGGCAACAACAAAAAUAAAGGUGCUCUCACCCUCACUCCUCUAUUAAUUCCCACACCAAAUCUAGCAACAACAGAAAUAAAGAGAUCAUACUCUCACCCUCACUCUUCCAUUCUCACACCAAAUCUAACGUAUACAACAAAAUAACAUACAUUUAUUUUCAAUCACUCUCUCGAGUUCAUUUCAAACAACUCUAUUCUUUGGUAAAACCAUCAUUCUUUUUUAUCUACCAUCAAGUGAAUCUUAACAUUAACAUGAACAUCAUCACACUCUCCGAUUCCAAAACCACCCAUGGAAGAAAAUAAAAAACUUGAAGGAGAGAACUCAAACCAUAGGAGAAACAAAAUGUUGAUUAAUCAAUUUAUCAUUUAUUUUUUACAUAUUAUUUUUUGUUUUUCAAUUUUGACUCAUCCAAAAUUAUUGUUGUAUGUAUGUUAAAUUUUUAUCAUCAUAUAAGUUAAACAGAAGAAGGAAUGCGGAUACACAUACACUACAAUGCCUCUGAUUUCGCUAGUAUUAUAUAAUUUGACAAUAAAUACUUAUGUGCACAAGUAUCACUUAUUUUUAGUAAAAAUAUGUUUCUCAUUACUAGUUAAAAAGGAUUUGUUCCUUAUUUUUAUAACUAUAAUAAAAAUUUAUAUAAUAAAUUUGAGUUUUUAAAAAUUUAAUGUAUUUUUUUUUUUUAAGAUUGUAUUAGAACCAUACUAGAAUUGUCAGAAAUCCAACAAAUAUUUUUUGAAUUGAACACUUCACAUAUACAUAUUCUACAAACAUAUUCUACAAGUGUCAUAUACAUAUUCUACAAGUGUCGAUAUGUAAUACAUGUAUCGAUAUGCAUACCAUUUAAGAUACUUGUCCUAAACUCUUAGCACGUUAGAUAUACGAAUAUGUUUGUGAUGGAAAAGAACAUAAAAUGAUAAUAAUAGUUGAGAGAGAGAGAGUUUAACCAGCUGUGUAGAGAGAUUUUGUCUUGGAUCAAGGCCAUCACGGGCCCCAACGAAACUCCAUCAGAAUUGGGAACAAAGAAUGCGGCGACGGGAGUCAUGGUGUAGAGCCUGUGAAAGGUGGGAGGGACACGGUGGUCGGAAACGAGGGAAGAGUGAAGAAUGGAGUGAGAAGAAAGAAGUGCGAGGAGACGAUCUAGCAUUGAGGCUGCUUGUGGGUUACUGCAACUAAUCUUUGAUGCUAUUUCCUUAGCAGACAGCUUAGCACCUUCUCCCGCUUCUUUCAGCACCUCAAACACUCCCAGCUCCGUCGCUGAUUGCACU